rnacentral:lncRNA from 1 species
UCAUUCUAAACACUUCAAGAAAUUAAGCUCGAUGUUCUUCACAUAUUCUUUUUCUUUAGUUCUUCUCUUCCUGGCCGUGCAAUAAUUUUUUUUUUCUUUUUCAAUUUUUCUUUUAUACUGCCAGGGAUUGCAAUCCAGCUUGAGUCCUCCCCCACACUUAUUCUUGUUCAUCAUCUUCGUAUCGCAUUGAUUUUGCAUAAAUUCCAUGUAUAGCUCUACUAGAUUCCAGAACAAGGGUAAGGAUAUAGUAUACAAAAGCUCAAGGUCAAGAUAAUAAGGGUGAUGACAAAAGGUCUAAAACAUAGGCUCAAUGGGGUUAAUCUAAGGGGUGUACAUCUUGUGUACACAAAUGGGGACAAAGGCUGAUUUGGCUUUGGUGGCAAUCCUAAGUGCCUCAAUCCCUUCCCCAAUCAAAGCAUGUCAUGACUAAAAGUUUUGAAAGGUGACAAAAGUGAGUUCUAGUAACCUCUUUAGUCCAUUAAACUUCUGCGGCAAGCAUUCAAUCAUGAAAGAAUAAUGGGAUUUAGCAACAAGCAUAUCAUUGAAAAUUAAGUAAUGAAUUUCAAAAUCUCUCCAAAGAAAGGCAUUAAGAUCAAUAAUCUCACAAAGGUUAUUUUGAAAUCACAAUCCAAAAUAGCAUGUUCAAAAAUUCUGUACCAAAGUCUCAAGCCAUAUCUACUACAAGUACGCAUGCAUCACAUAAGACUCGAUUAACCAAAGAAUGUUAUGCUCAUCAUCUCAAUUAAAUGAUCAUCUUUUAGCCAUGAUUUCAGAAGAUUAGUAUCAUCCUAGACUUGUGAAGGGCUUCUAUGACUCAAAAACCAAAAACAAAAACAAAAACAAUUUUUUUUUUUGUUUUAACAAAAACAAAACAAAACACAAAAUGUGUGCAGUCCCUUUCCCCACACUAAAACUAUGCAGCGUCCUCGAUGCAAGAACAAUAUAGAUCAUGCAAUGAUAACAGAUGUAUGGAGGAAAGUGAGCAAAACAAGAGACUAAGAAGAUAAAGUUCAGAAAAGCUCCCCCAUUUGGUGCUCUGAAGCCAAGUUCCAGCUCAUAUAAACAUCUUGUUGCAGCAUCCAAUGUCUGAGAUUCCAAUUGGAGAUGAAAUAUGGCAUUGUUAGCUUUAUGUGGAUAUGUGGCACGUUUCCUAACUCCAAAUGAAUUG